rnacentral:tRNA from 1 species
GGCUCGUUGGUCUAGGGGUAUGAUUCUCGCUUAGGUUGCAAGAGGUCCAGGGUUCAAAUUGCAGACGACCCC